rnacentral:lncRNA from 1 species
CCUGGCGCGGGCGGCGGGACCCUCUUCCCGCCCCCCGGUUUUUCGGCCGACAUCGGCGCCCCGGGCUGGGGUUUGGGGCUCCCCUUUGCCGUGGGGAGGCAGGCGGAGGCCGGCUGAACCUGCCGGGGCCAUGGCGGGGCCGGCGCCGCGUGUGGCCGGGACGUGGUGGAGCGGCGCCAUGAGAUUCAUCUCCCUAGAAGACUGGGUGAACUUGAAUUCUUCUCCCUUUCAAAGAGCUUUUUCCCCUGAAUCCCUUUUACAAUCUGAAGAAAAGGAAGAAAGCCGGAGGAAGCUUAACAUGAGAUGCAAGUGGAGCCUGAUGCUGCAGUGCGUGGCAGAAGCCUUAGCUUAGAAGCAACAGUUCUACUAGAAAUCAUGUUACAGAUUAUGUACUUCUUUGGAAUGGCCAUGAGAAAAAUGCGUUCCCACAGUAUCGUCAAAGGAACUACAUCCAGCACCAGAUUUUCCUACCAACCAAAUACAGGGGCUAAGAGUCUGGCAGCUCAUAACUUGGUACUCGUGACUCCAGCUGAUACAUUCACAUCAUAAGAAGGUCAGUUAAAUUGCUUUCAGUUUAUUUUAAAAACUCUUAGCACUUGUGUACAGACCUGAGGGACUAAAGCGUAAUGACCACUCAAAACCAAAGUACAGCAGCUGCUACCAUCUGAAAAACAAAUGUUGUGUGGACAAAAGCAUCUUCCUUGUGCCAGCUACAC